UACGUAGGGUGCGAGCGUUAAUCGGAAUUACUGGGCGUAAAGUGUGCGCAGGCGGCCGCGCAAGUCGAGUGUGAAAGCCCCGAGCUUAACUUGGGAAUUGCGCUCGAAACUACGUGGCUGGAGUGUGGCAGAGGAAGGUGGAAUUCCACGUGUAGCGGUGAAAUGCGUAGAUAUCGGGAGGAACACCUGCGGUGUAGACGGCUUACUGGACCGUAACUGACGCUGAGGCACGAAAGCGUGGGGAGCAAACAGG
rnacentral:rRNA from 1 species